GACUGUACAAAGGUAGCAUAAUCAUUUGUCUUUUAAUUGGAGGCUGGUAUGAAUGGUUGGAUGAAAAAUAUACUUUCUUUAUUUUAUAUAAAAAAUUUAAUUUUUUAGUCAAAAAGCUAAAAUUUUUUUGUAGGACGAGAAGACCCUAUAGAACUUUAUUAUUAUUUUUUAUGAUUUUUUUAGUUUAUUUAAGAUUUAUAUGAUUAUAAUAAUUGCGUUGGGGUGAUGGAAAAAAUUAUAUAACUUUUUCUAUUUAUUACAUUUAUAUAUGUUUAUUUGAUCUCUAAUUUAGGAUAAAAAGAUUAAGUUACCUUAGGGAUAACAGCGUUAUUUUUUUGGAGAGUUCAUAUCGAUGAAAAAGUUUGCGACCUCGAUGUUGGAUUAAAAUAAGUGACAGGAGUAGAAUAUUGUUUUUUAGGUCUGUUCGACCUUUAAAUUUUUACA
rnacentral:rRNA from 1 species